GAACGCCCGGCAGCUGGCCCGGGUCGUGUGUGCCACCGUGCUGGCUGGGGAGCUCUCGCUCAUGGCUGCUCUGACCGCCGGCCACCUGGUCAAGAGUCACAUGACGCACAACAGGUGAGAGCAAACGGCUCCUACAGUCGCCCAGAGUGGACCAACCAGGUGCUGGUUUCAGACGUCUGAAAUCCUCUUUGGAAAUCAAAGCGAAUAAAUCUGCCGAUAGCUGGCUUCCUCUACGACUAUUGAAGGAACAUUUAGAUCCAAGGUGAACCUACAGGAGACUCCAGGAACGUGCACCAAGAAGGCUUCGUGAGGGCGAGGAGCCUCCUGCAGCCGGCCCAGGUCACCUGACGGGGCGGUGAAGUACGGACAAUGUGAAAGGGACUAAUCAUUCAUCAAGACACCACAUGUCCUCCAAGUGCACUCGGAGAGACACUAGUGACCAAUCUCAAUGCUGAAAAAGAGCAUAUUCAUUUUCUGUUUAUUGGGCUUUAAGCAGAGCAGUUAAUUACUGUCUUCUUCUAUUUCAACUUUUAAGAGUGCUGUCAGGUUUUUAGUGGUAUUUCUGCUGGCCUGUUGCCAAAUACACGACCAGCUGACGGGGGCCGAGUGUCCCAGUGUUCGGCUAAAACGCACUGACCGCAUGAAGGAAUCAAUACAUGAGAGACUGCUGUCCGCAUCCAAGAGGCACUUAAAUACCCAGACUGCAAGCUUCCUUCAAAAGUGCUGAGUUCACCUCCUGCACAUGUAAGGACCAAAUCAAAGGGAGGAUGAAUAAGUGAUGCUGAAACUGCUCCUCCUCAACCAAAGAGCGGUUCAGUCCCCACGGUGACCCCAGAGGGCCUCCAGGGAAUCUGGAGCGAUCUUUAUCUGACAUGAGGUGCACAUGGGGGCCACAUAGGCGCCGCCCUGUGGAAUUUAGUUAAUGAUCAGCUGCUGGGGGAAAUGUUGACGCUGCGUUUGGUGACGUCUCUAACAUGCCAGCUGUGUAACCGGGGUCUUUGUGCAACAUUUUCACAAAGAGGGGAAAACACGUCAGCAGGGCAGAAUGGAAAGAAAAUGUGUUCGAUAUAUUUUUGUAAUAAAUACAAAAUCUAUUUUGAUUGAUCAAGUCGUCUGUAAUAUGGAAUUCUAACAAUAACCUGACAGCAAACGCGGCCCCCGGCUCUCUGUGCCUCACGUGGCUCUUUAGUCCUGCUGGUGGGUUAUUGAUCACCACGGAAACGAGCCACCAUGUGCAGCCUGUGUCCCUAUGAAGUCUUGUUUGUUCCUUCUGCCCAGUGUGUUCGUACACAUUCAUGCCUGAACAGAAGGGAGAGGAAUCAAUGCAGGCAACGGAUAGGAAUCGUUUUAUUUGAUCAAUGCGAUACCAUUUGUUAAUGUACACCGUUCAAUAUUAACUAAAUCAAUGAGUACAUAUUUUGUAUGCGAUAUGCAUUCAUCCCCCCGUCUGCAAUGAACGUUCCGCUUUAUGACGCAUCACAUUUGUUCCAAAAUAAAUGCAAAUGCUCAAAAGUUAA
ensembl:lncRNA